UCUUUCAGUGUUGAAACAUCCUCUAUUGAAUUAGGCUUUCAACCAAGUUCACUGGAGUUUGUUUCAAUAUUGCAAGAA
rnacentral:pre_miRNA from 1 species